GACAGAGGGUGCAAACGUUGUUCGGAAUUACUGGGCGUAAAGCGAGUGUAGGCGGUUCGAUAAGUCGGAUGUGAAAGCCCCUGGCUCAACUGGGGAAGUGCACCCGAAACUGAGUAGCUAGAGUGCAAAAGAGGGUCGCGGAAUUCCCGGUGUAGAGGUGAAAUUCGUAGAUAUCGGGAGGAACACCGGUGGCGAAGGCGGCGACCUGGGUUGACACUGACGCUGAGGCGCGAAAGCGUGGGGAGCAAACAGG
rnacentral:rRNA from 1 species